rnacentral:rRNA from 1 species
AACGAACGCUGGCGGCAUGCCUAAUACAUGCAAGUCGAACGGAAUGGGGCAACCCAUUUAGUGGCGGACGGGUGAGUAACGUGUGGGAACCUGCCCAUCGGUACGGAAUAACCUCGGGAAACUGAGGCUAAUACCGUAUGCGCCCCCCAGGGUAACUUGGGGGGGAAAGAUUUAUCGUCGGUGGAGGGGCCCGCGUCGGAUUAGGUAGUUGGUGAGGUAACGGCUCACCAAGCCUUCGAUCCGUAGCUGGUCUGAGAGGAUGAUCAGCCACACUGGGACUGAGACACGGCCCAGACUCCUACGGGAGGCAGCAGUAGGGAAUAUUGGACAAUGGGGGCAACCCUGAUCCGGCAAUGCCGCGUGAGUGAUGAAGGCCUUAGGGUUGUAAAGCUCUUUUGGCAGGGACGAUGAUGACGGUACCUGCAGAAUAAGCCCCGGCUAACUUCGUGCCAGCCGCCGCGGUAACAC